ACUAUAUGGGAAUCCAGCUCCUUAACCACCACGCCACCUGCUGACCCCAAGCUGUGGGUCUUUUAUUACCAAUGCUUUUAUCAUCACGUCGCUGAUUGCUGAGAGGGCCAAUGUUUUAGCUGACCUGGUUUCUUGUAUUUUAUCAUUUUCUCUAACAGGUGACAGCCUUGAGGAUGACUUUUCCUCUCUAACCUGCCUUUACUUUAUUAACGGCCAUCUGAGAAUUCCCAAAGUUAAACAAGAGGACAAAACCUCAAAAUCCUAAAUAUCAGCAGGCAUAUAAAAUGAUGUGAUCACUAAAGUCUCUUCUAGGUCCAAAGUGCUAUAAUUCUACAAUUUAAAGGCGGAAAAGAAAGCCCUCCUGGCAAUUCCUGCCCCCGCCCACCCAAAGGGCUAUAAUUUUACAAUUUAAAGGCAGAAAAGAAAGCCCUCCUGGCAGUUUCUGCUCCCCCUGCCCAGUGGAUAGUAGAUAGGGUGUCUGCUCCGGUACUUUCAGUGGCCUCCUUGUGUUCAGUGAGGACGUGUGUGUGCAUUGAGGCAAGGCUGCCCACACGACAUACACGGAGGGCCUGAGGGCUGAAGGAUUUUUGUUUCCAGCUGCGAGAAAGCCUAGAGGUCUAGGCUGGGGUGAGGAGAGUAAGACCUCUGGGAGCUGCUCGCUCUUGGUUGCCUUCCUACACUUUGAACCCCAGGAGUCCUGAUCCUGGUACACGGUCUUAACAAGGUAUGUACCAGGGAAUCCACAACCAGCCACGACCUAGGAAUGUUCUUUUUUUUUUUUUCUUAAUUGCCAGAGAGAUAGAGCAUGAGAGAGGGGACAGGCAUCCUCAAAGGAGGCAUGUCACACUGAUGUCUUUUCUCUGCCAUUUCUCCAUCCUCCUGGGAUUUGGGGCAUGCAGGCACACAAGCCCAGCAUGUUUUUGAAACGGCCAGGGUUCAUAUUCAAACCACGGGCCUCCAUGUGGGAUCCAGCUCCCUUGACCCCUACGCUGGCCCCCUAGGGGUUUUGAAGCACUUAGUGCAAACUAGAGAAGUCACUCAACUCAAGCCAAGAGCUAGGAUGAAGUGCUUUGUAGUUUCCUGUGCUUUGUAGUUUCUCUGGCCUCCAGACACUAGAUUCCAGCAGUUUCACAGCCCCGAUGGCCUCCCACCAUCCCUCACUCUUCCAGGGCACCCACAAACUGGGAGGCACAAUUCUACGGAUCAAUUUGGAAACAGCAGAGAAGGAAGAGGUGUGGAAGAAAAGGCAAGAUCAGAAGGAAUUAUGCGUACAGAGGCCUGGCCACACUUCCUCCUACACCCGCAUUCCCUCUGCUGGCCGGCGAGGGUCCUUGAGGAGUCCUUCCUGCCAGGCCGCUCUUUGAAGGGCCCUUCUACUCUCAUGGUAGUGACUGCUCCCCUUCAUGCAGAUCCGGGGUAGCGAGACCUGUGUUUUCAAUUCACAACACUAAACUUAAAAAUCGAUCGCUGCACUUAAUGUUCUCUUUCAAGCUUCCAUUCUGACAGCAGAAAUGUAGUUUGGGAGAUUGCAGAUACGCUUACUCCUAGUUUUUUUUUUUUUUUUUAAAUCUUCUGUGAUAAAGUCUAUGAAUUCAGAACGUCCCCUGGCCCCUCUGUCUACCCGGUGGCUUCUGAGAUUCCAGGGGACCGGAGGCGAAGUGCUGGGUUCUUGCCCACCAAGCACUCCCUGGCCGGCAUUCAGUGCUGAUGUCGCAUUCCCCAUGUCUCCAGUCGUCAGUCCUGGGGCCGGCAGCUCCUUACCCUGACUGCGAGGUGAACCCUGAGCCACAUCCUCACCACUCAGAGAUGUGGGAAACCAUGGGACUUUCUCGUAAGCUGUGGAGAACUGGGGGGUGGAGCUGGUUAGACUUCGCUGGUUGCCUCUUCUCUUUCCUGUUUACUCUGGCCCUAAGUGAGAACUGAGAGAGAGCCCUUUCUCUCAGAUCCCCAAAUUACCUUAGGAUUCUACCGAUCACGGUGACUCCUUCCCCAAUUGCCCACUGGGGACCCCAGUGCCCGUUGGUGGUAGACUCUCAUGUGAGCUUUUUCUCUCUGCAGCCUGGAGAAUCUUCUCACAUUGCAGUGCUCAGCGCCGUAGCCACGAGUCACACACAGAUACGAGUUCUGGAAAUGUGCCGGUCAAAGCCCUCACCUCCCAUGUGACUGUAUUUGGAGACAGGACCUUUAAGGAAGUCAUUAUGUUGAACUGAGGUCGCAAGAACGGCACCCUAAUCUAUAGGGCAGCUGUCCUUCUAAAAAGAGGAAAAGAUACCAGGAACUCCUGCACAGAGGAAAGCACCCCUGCACAGAGGAAAGCACUCCUGCACAGAGGAAAGCCCGUGUGAGGGCACAGGGAGAAGCCAUUUAUCUGCACGUCGAGAAGGGAGAGCUCCCCAGAAACCAGUCCUGCCGGCACCUUGAUCUUGGACUGCCAGGCUUCAAGACCAGAAAUUUCUGUUGUUUAAGCCCCCCCUCUCCCCAGACUGGAAUUCAGUUAUGAAGUCCUUGCAGAUUAAUACAGGAAGGAAAAUUUAUUCUGAUAUCAUGAAGUCACCCAAAUCAAAUGUUUAUGACAGUAAUUUUAGCUUUUGAUCCUCAAAAACCCAUCCUCUUAGUCUGUGGUCUGUGCCAGGAAUUAAAAAAAAAAAUCUUUCAAAAUUCAAAAGCUGGGAGAACAUUGAUGGUCGUCCUGUCUGUUGUGACCCUCCUCCUCCAGAGCCAUAGAAGCAGCUGCCUUCUGUGCCGAAGUUGAGGGAGAGGGCACAGAGUCAACAGGAAGGAUGGACAGCGACAAAUACAUGGGUUCAUACGGACACAGCAAUCCGCUGUGACAGCUACGUACGUCUGCCUUUCCCUGGGCUGUUGAAACCCCGGAGGAUUUGAUUGCAUUUCUUUUGUCAUUCAUUAAUCCAUUCUGUGUUUAAAGGUCCUAGCUCCAAAUACAAGCACAGGUUCAUUUUGGGUACUGUAGGGUGCAUGCUGUCAGACAGCAUUCGCACUGAACAUUCAAGGACUUUGAAAGACACAAUUCACAGUAAAGGAACUGAAGGUGUCACAGCGCCUGCAUGGCAGGAGAGGGAGGUGGUUGAAGGUAUGAAACGCCUGCUCUCUGUGUCACUGUCGCCCAGAACACUUCGUUAGCUGUGGGAGAGACCUCGUUGCCCACUCUCAGCACACACUCUCCUCUCUCAGGAGUCUGGUGAUUGCUGGUGUAACAUGGAUUACACACCUGGCAGUGAUUGCCAGGAGCAGCAGCAGGUCAAAAAAGCCAAGUCACACACUCGAGGGACGUGGCUGGCUUCUGCCAUCCUUCGCGCUUCUCCGAUUCACAAGUCAUUCAGCCUGGGCAUGGGGGCACGUGCCUGUAGUAGCAGCUACUCAGGAGGCUGAGGCAGGAAGAUGACAAGUUCAGGGUCGGCAUGAAUAACAUAAGACCGUGUUUCAAGAAGAAAAGAAGUUCAAAGAAUACAGGUGAAGCAAAAAUCUCCUUUUAAUCAAGCCUCCCCAGAGGCAACCGCUCUUACCGACUUUAUGUUUAUCUUUUCAGAUUUUUUCCCUAUUUAUGAAUGUACAUAUACCCAUAGAAGUAUAUAGUUUCUUUUUGUGGGUAGACUUUAACAUAAAUUAUAUUAUUCCUACUGUACAAGUUUAGAGUUUUGCUUUUUUUCUCUUAUUGAUACUUCUUACGGGGCCAGGUGGUGAUGCAGUAGGAACACAAUGGGCCUAUCUAGGAAAGGUCCUGGGUUCAUGUCCUGGGACCUCUUUGAGCAACAGCAGACACGCGUGUGCUUGUCUGUGACCCAGGCUGGCUAAGGCUGGGGUGGAUGGAGGUGUGAA